rnacentral:lncRNA from 1 species
ACAACUUCAAAUUAUUUUUCCUGACUUCAAUUGAUCAUGUCUCCCGCGGGAUCCAAUCGUGAACUUAUCUCAAAGACUGGUCUCCAAAAUGCUUGCACGCUACCAUGAUUGGGUCAGCAGACAAAGAGUAGAGGGCAUGACGAGAGGCAGAUGGUUCAGGCAAGUCCCCCUGUUGUACGUGAGAAACUUAAAAAAAAAAGAGAGAGAGAAAAAUGUGUUCCCGAGAGAGUAAUUAAAACAGAUAAAAAUGCCAAGGAAUGUACCUCCUUUGAGAGCCAACCUAUUGAUCGGCAAAGUAAUUCAAUUGCUGCAGUGGAAAAGACAACGGAAUUUACAUCAUCUGGGCCUGACUGUAAUGAAGUUGAUUGUUGUUCUCAAGACGUCUAGCAUUGGAAAUGUUUGACAAUGGCGUUCAUGUUCACGCAUCAUCAAAUGCUUUUUGGAAAAUCCCUUGCAGUGCAAAGGGUAAGAUACUUCAAGUAGCUUUCAUACACUUGCAGCCACGUUCCCCAGUCAGGAAGCCAUCCCUAUGUUAUUUGCACGUAAGAAGCUGAGCAAAUAAACCAAAUGUGUAAUCGAC